rnacentral:rRNA from 1 species
GACGAACGCUGGCGGCGUGCUUAACACAUGCAAGUCGAACGAAGAGCGAUGGAAGCUUGCUUCUAUCAAUCUUAGUGGCGAACGGGUGAGUAACGCGUAAUCAACCUGCCCUUCAGAGGGGGACAACAGUUGGAAACGACUGCUAAUACCGCAUACGAUCCAAUCUCGGCAUCGGGACUGGAUGAAAGGUGGCCUCUAUUUAUAAGCUAUCACUGAAGGAGGGGAUUGCGUCUGAUUAGCUAGUUGGAGGGGUAACGGCCCACCAAGGCGAUGAUCAGUAGCCGGUCUGAGAGGAUGAACGGCCACAUUGGGACUGAGACACGGCCCAGACUCCUACGGGAGGCAGCAGUGGGGAAUCUUCCGCAAUGGACGAAAGUCUGACGGAGCAAAGCCGCGUGAGUGAUGACGGCCUUCGGGUUGUAAAGCUCUGUUAAUCGGGACGAAUGGUUCUUGUGCGAAUAGUGCGAGGAUUUGACGGUACCGGAAUAGAAAGCCACGGCUAACUACGUG